GGGGAAUUUUGGACAAUGGGCGCAAGCCUGAUCCAGCAAUGCCGCGUGCAGGAUGAAGGCCUUCGGGUUGUAAACUGCUUUUGUACGGAACGGAAAAGCUCUCUCUAAUACAGGGGGUGAAUGACGGUACCGUAAGAAUAAGCACCUGCUAACUACGUGCCAGCAGCCACGGUAAUACGUAGGGUGCAAGCGUUAAUCGGAAUUACUGGGCGUAAAGCGUGCGCAGGCGGUUUUGUAAGACAGAGGUGAAAUCCCCGGGCUCAACCUGGGAACUGCCUUUGUGACUGUAAAGCUGGAGUGCGGCAGAGGGGGAUGGAAUUCCGCGUGUAGCAGUGAAAUGCGUAGAUAUGCGGAGGAACACCGAUGGCGAAGGCAAUCCCCUGGGCCUGCACUGACGCUCAUGCACGAAAGCGUGGGGAGCAAACA
rnacentral:rRNA from 1 species